rnacentral:rRNA from 1 species
AACGAAGAGGCUGGGAGAUUAUUAUUGGUUUAUAGUAAAUAUUUUAUAAAUGAGUGGUUAAUAAAGAUAACUAAGUGAAAUUUUUAUCUUUUAAUCUCUUAAUAUAUGAUGCUAUGAAAGUUAGGGUAUAAACUAGGAUUAGAUACCCUACUAUACUAACAGUAUCUUAGAAACUUGAGUAGUAGUAGAUAUUUUCUUGAAACUCAAAGAAUUUGGCGGUGUUUUAGUCUUACCAGAGGAACCUGCCCCGUAAUCGAUAAUCCACGAUAAAUUCUACUUAAUUAAGUAGAACAGCUUGUAUACCGCCGUCAACAGGGUGUCUCUAGAGAGAACUCCCAAGGAUCUUAUUUAAGAAUAAUGUCAGGUCAAGGUGCAGUCAAUGAUUAAGUGUGAGGUGGGUUACAAUAAAAAAAUAUUAAACGGAUUAGGUUCUGUAAAGGGCCUAUGAAGGUGGAUUUGGAGGUAAUAAAUUAAAGUAAAGAUUUAUGGGCUAGCUCUAAAACAUGCACACAUCGCCCGUCGCUCUCAUUUAUUAAGGUGAG